GAUGAACGCUGACAGAAUGCUUAACACAUGCAAGUCUACUGGAACUUCGGUUUGGGUGGCGGACGGGUGAGUCACGCGUAAAGAACUUGCCUCACAGUUAGGGACAACAUUUGGAAACGAAUGCUAAUACCUGAUAUUAUGAUUUUAGGGCAUCCUAGGAUUAUGAAAGCUAUAUGUGCUGUGAGAGAGCUUUGCGUCCCAUUAGCUAGUUGGAGAGGUAACGGCUCACCAAGGCGAUGAUGGGUAGCCGGCCUGAGAGGGUGAACGGCCACAAGGGGACUGAGACACGGCCCUUACUCCUACGGGAGGCAGCAGUGGGGAAUAUUGGACAAUGGACCAAAAGUCUGAUCCAGCAAUUCUGUGUGCACGAUGACGUUUUUCGGAAUGUAAAGUGCUUUCAGUUGGGAAGAAAAAAAUGACGGUACCAACAGAAGAAGUGACGGCUAAAUACGUG
rnacentral:rRNA from 1 species